rnacentral:rRNA from 1 species
UACGGAGGGGGCUAGCGUUGUUCGGAAUUACUGGGCGUAAAGCGCACGUAGGCGGCUUUGUAAGUUAGAGGUGAAAGCCCGGGGCUCAACCCCGGAAUUGCCUUUAAGACUGCAUCGCUAGAAUUGUGGAGAGGUAAGUGGAAUUCCGAGUGUAGAGGUGAAAUUCGUAGAUAUUCGGAAGAACACCAGUGGCGAAGGCGGACUUACUGGACACAUAUUGACGCUGAGGUGCGAAAGCGUGGGGAGCAAACAGGAUUAAGAAA